rnacentral:rRNA from 1 species
GACAGAGGGUGCAAGCGUUAAUCGGAAUGAUUGGGCGUAAAGGGCGUGUAGGUGGUUAUCCAGGUUUAGUGUGAAAGCUCUCGGCUCAACCGAGAAAGUGCAUUAAAUACCAGAUUACUAGAGUGAGAGAGAGGGUUGUGGAACUUUCGGUGUAGCGGUGAAAUGUGUAGAUAUCGAAAGGAACACCAGUGGCGAAGGCGACAACCUGGCUCUAAACUGACACUGAGGCGCGAAGGCGUGGGGAGCAAACAGG